AAAAUAAAAAAAGCAAAUAAAAAUUCUAUGAAUAAAAUAAAAAUUAAACGGUGCGUUCAAAAAAACCAAUAAAGUGCAGUCUAAACUUCACGUGUGUGCGUGUGUGUGUGUGUAUAAAAAUGAAUGAUCGAAUUACUACACAAAAAGGCUUAAUAUAAAAUUGAUUUUGACUAACAAAACGUGAUGCUGCACCGACAUCAAACUCGCAUCGGCCGCUUCGCUUGAGAGCACGGACCAUACCAGACGUGGACCAGCGACAUAAUGUGCCCAGGGCAGAUGAACUGGUAAGUGUCAAAUAAAUAAUACGCCACGGCGUAUUCUUUAUUACUCCUCUCAGCCACCUACUUGCACUCACCACGGCAUCCCUCGGUCCAUGUCCAAGAUGCCAUAGUGAUAGAAAGACGGGUCACCAAUUGCGAGGUUGAUAUGAGGCUCUACCGUGGUUGAAUGAUAUCCUGGGGCCGGCAUCGAGAGAUGACAAUCUCUCGUCCGGAUAAAACGCCUUCCGCCGCAACUCGCGCUCCAUGUCCAAGAUGCCAUAGUGAUAGAAAAACGGGUCACCCAUCGCGAGGUUGACAGCGAGCUCUCCGCCGGUCGACGUACCCCAGAUA